rnacentral:rRNA from 1 species
GAGCGAGCGGGAAGAGCUCAAAUUUAUAAUCUGGCACCUUCGGUGUCCGAGUUGUAAUCUCUAGAAAUGUUUUCCGCGUUGGACCGCACACAAGUCUGUUGGAAUACAGCGGCAUAGUGGUGAGACCCCCGUAUAUGGUGCGGACGCCCAGCGCUUUGUGAUACAUUUUCGAAGAGUCGAGUUGUUUGGGAAUGCAGCUCAAAUUGGGUGGUAAAUUCCAUCUAAAGCUAAAUAUUGGCGAGAGACCGAUAGCGAACAAGUACCGUGAGGGAAAGAUGAAAAGCACUUUGGAAAGAGAGUUAACAGUACGUGAAAUUGUUGGAAGGGAAACGCUUGAAGUCAGACUUGCUUGCCGAGCAAUCGGUUUGCAGGCCAGCAUCAGUUUUCCGGGAUGGAUAAUGGUAGAGAGAAGGUAGCAGUUUCGGCUGUGUUAUAGCUCUCUGCUGGAUACAUCUUGGGGGACUGAGGAACGCAGUGUGCCUUUGGCGGGGGUUUCGACCUCUUCACACUUAGGAUGCUGGUGGAAUGGCUUUAAACGACCCGUCUUGAA